rnacentral:rRNA from 1 species
GACGAACGCUGGCGGCGUGCUUAACACAUGCAAGUCGAACGGGAGUAUUGAAGAAGCUUGCUUUAGAGAUACUUUAGUGGCGGACGGGUGAGUAACGCGUGAGGAGCUGUCCUAUGCAGGGGGACAACAGCUGGAAACGGCUGCUAAUACCCCAUAAGCCGAGAGGUAAAAGGAUCAAUCCGGCAGAGGAGGUACUCGCGUCCUAUCAGCUAGUAGGUGAGGUAACGGCUCACCUAGGCGAAGACGGGUAGCCGGCCUGAGAGGGCGAACGGCCACACUGGAACUGAGAUACGGUCCAGACUCCUACGGGAGGCAGCAGUGGGGAAUAUUGGGCAAUGGGGGAAACCCUGACCCAGCGACGCCGCGUGGGUGAAGAAAUCCUUCGGGAUGUAAAGCCCUGUUGUAUGGGAAGAGCGGAAGACGGUACCAUACGAGGAAGCCCCGGCAAACUACGUGCCAGCAGCCGCGGUAAGCACGAGAGUA